rnacentral:rRNA from 1 species
ACGUAGGGACCGAGCGUUGUCCGGAAUCAUUGGGCGUAAAGAGCGUGUAGGCGGCUUGCUAAGUCUUGCGUGAAAUCUCGGGGCUCAACCCCGAGCGGUCGUGGGAAACUGGCAGGCUAGAGUGCGGGAGAGGAGAAUGGAAUUCCUGGUGUAGCGGUGAAAUGCGCAGAUAUCCGGAGGAACACCGGUGGCGAAGGCGGCUUCCUGGACCGACACUGACGCUGAGGCGCGAAAGCUAGGGGAGCAAACGGGA